AACCAGACUCCUACGGGAGGCAGCAGUGGGGAAUAUUGCACAAUGGGGGAAACCCUGAUGCAGCGACGCCGCGUGAGUGAAGAAGUAUUUCGGUAUGUAAAGCUCUAUCAGCAGGGAAGAAGUUGACGGUACCUGAGUAAGAAGCCCCGGCUAACUACGUGCCAGCAGCCGCGGUAAUACGUAGGGGGCAAGCGUUAUCCGGAUUUACUGGGUGUAAAGGGAGCGUAGACGGCAGUGCAAGUCUGAAGUGAAAGCCCCGGGCUUAACCCGGGAAUUGCUUUGGAAACUGUACGGCUGGAGUGCUGGAGAGGUAAGCGGAAUUCCUAGUGUAGCGGUGAAAUGCGUAGAUAUUAGGAGGAACACCAGUGGCGAAGGCGGCUUACUGGACAGUAACUGACGUUGAGGCUCGAAAGCGUGGGGAGCGAACAGGAUUAGAUACCCUCGUA
rnacentral:rRNA from 1 species